rnacentral:lncRNA from 1 species
GGGAAAGGAUCUCCUCCCAUGGCGGAUCAGUUGUCGUCUCCACCGUAAAACCUCGAAAUCUUCAGGUGCGUCUCCGUGUCAAAUCUGACUGUUCAGAUUUACAGUACUUGUUUUUUCCGGUGAUCAUAUCGUUUUUGUUUUCGCGACAAUCGAUUUGUUGUUUGAUUUUGAGAAAUCUGGGAAGCUUUCCGAAAUUUCAGAAUCCAUGUUGUAGAAGGUGAACGAACUGGUCUGCAUUUUUGUGCGUGGGCUUGUAGUAAACACGAUCAUUGGUUUUAAAUUUAGCUUCUGCAAGAACAUGAUCUAAAUCUGAUUCGAGUCCAAUUCAAUUGAGACAAAAGAAGAACAUAGAUUCUUGUGUUAUAAUGACAAAAGAACAAUUCAUUGCAGGUUCUAAAGCAUUGGUUCUAGGAGAAGAUCUCUCAAUACAUGAGGAAGUUUAUUUCGAGAAACUAAAAACAUUAGAAAUUGCUCUCAACAGGUUCUUCUUCUUCUUCUUCUUCUUCUCUACAGAGGAGGCAACCAUGUGAUUAUAACCGGGCUUCGAACUCUAUGCGUCGCGCUCUUCCACAAAAGACCACCAAACUCAGGCCGCUUCAACCGCAACUUCGUCCUGAAAGUGACCGUGUAC